rnacentral:misc_RNA from 1 species
GCAAACUUGGUCAUUUAGAGGAAGUAAAAGUCGUAACAAGGUCUCCGUUGGUGAACCAGCGGAGGGAUCAUUACCGAGUUUACCCAAACUCCCAAACCCGCCGUGAACCUUACCUCUCGUUGCUUCGGCGGGUCCGCCCCGGGCGCCACCCCAGCGGUGGCCCCGGAACCAGGCGCCCGCCGGAGGCCCCCGAAACUCUCGUGUCUCCCUCCCGGGCCCGCCCCGGGAACGUUUACUCUGAGUGGCCCGACAAGGGCGUGAAUCACAAUGAAUCAAAACUUUCAACAACGGAUCUCUUGGUUCUGGCAUCGAUGAAGAACGCAGC